GCGUAAUGGUGACGCGGAGGGACAUUA
rnacentral:rRNA from 1 species